rnacentral:rRNA from 1 species
AGUUAACGCUGGCGGUAGGCCUAACACAUGCAAGUCGAACGGCAGCACAGUAAGAGCUUGCUCUUACGGGUGGCGAGUGGCGGACGGGUGAGGAAUACAUCGGAAUCUACUUUUUCGUGGGGGAUAACGUAGGGAAACUUACGCUAAUACCGCAUACGACCUACGGGUGAAAGCAGGGGAUCUUCGGACCUUGCGCGAUUGAAUGAGCCGAUGUCGGAUUAGCUAGUUGGCGGGGUAAAGGCCCACCAAGGCGACGAUCCGUAGCUGGUCUGGGAGGAUGAUCAGCCACACUGGAACUGAGACACGGUCCAGACUCCUACGGGAGGCAGCAGUGGGGAAUAUUGGACAAUGGGCGCAAGCCUGAUCCAGCCAUACCGCGUGGGUGAAGAAGGCCUUCGGGUUGUAAAGCCCUUUUGUUGGGAAAGAAAAGCAGCAGGUUAAUACCCCGCUGUUCUGACGGUACCCAAAGAAUAAGCACCGGCUAACUUCGUG